rnacentral:lncRNA from 1 species
AAACAUUUUUUUUGAGAGGAUUAAAAUUCAACAGCAUAGUGAAUUGCUCUAAGAGAAAAAAAAAAUUUUAAGUUCAUUAGAACACAUUCAUUCUGUGUCAGAAACCUAUGCUGUGUCAACUAUUUAAUCACAAUCCAAAUUUAGAGCUGAAUCCAGCUUGAAUGUUGUGUCCAUACUUGCCCCAACCGUUCAGGGUUCAACCUCUGCGGUCGUAUAAAGCUACGCCCUGCGGAGCAUCUGGUUACAU